rnacentral:rRNA from 1 species
AUUGAACGCUGGCGGCAGGCCUAACACAUGCAAGUCGAGCGGAUGAAGGGAGCUUGCUCCUGGAUUCAGCGGCGGACGGGUGAGUAAUGCCUAGGAAUCUGCCUGGUAGUGGGGGAUAACGUCCGGAAACGGGCGCUAAUACCGCAUACGUCCUGAGGGAGAAAGUGGGGGAUCUUCGGACCUCACGCUAUCAGAUGAGCCUAGGUCGGAUUGCUAGUUGGUGGGGUAAAGGCCUACCAAGGCGACGAUCCGUAACUGGUCUGAGAGGAUGAUCAGUCACACUGGAACUGAGACACGGUCCAGACUCCUACGGGAGGCAGCAGUGGGGAAUAUUGGACAAUGGGCGAAAGCCUGAUCCAGCCAUGCCGCGUGUGUGAAGAAGGUCUUCGGAUUGUAAAGCACUUUAAGUUGGGAGGAAGGGCAGUAAGUUAAUACCUUGCUGUUUUGACGUUACCAACAGAAUAAGCACCGGCUAACUUCGUG